ACAUGCAAGUCGAACGAAGCGCCCCAUUGAGAACUGAAUGAAGUUGGAGAGCUUGCUCAAAGAUGGAAUGACGUAGGAUUUGGAUUCUGCGCUUAGUGGCGAACGGGUGAGUAACACGUGGGUUACCUGCCUUCAAGCUGGGGAUAACAGCUAGAAAUGGUUGCUAAUACCGAAUGUGCUAGUAAUAGUAAAGAUGCCCUUAAAGCAUCACUUGAAGAUGGGCCUGCGGCGUAUUAGAUAGUUGGUGGGGUAAUGGCCUACCAAGUCAACGAUGCGUAGCCGGACUGAGAGGUUGAACGGCCACACUGGGACUGAGACACGGCCCAGACUCCUACGGGAGACAGCAGUUAGGAAUAUUCGGCAAUGGGCGAAAGCCUGACCGAGCAAUGCCGCGUGUGAGAUGAAGGUCCUCUGGAUUGUAAAUCACUUUUAUUUGGGAAGAACGGUAAGUAUAGGAAAUGAUACUUACGUGACGGUACCUUUUGAAUAAGCUCCGGCUAACUACGUGCCAGCCGCCGC
rnacentral:rRNA from 1 species